AGGUCUUGAAACAAGGCCGGCUGAGUAGAUCAGCUACAGGUGGCUCAGGACCCAGGUUUUGGAAUUUGCACUUGGUAUCAGCUAAGGUAAACUGGAGAAAAACAAGGCUGUGAACUUCAGAAAUCUCUCAAGACCCAAGACUGAGCUGAAUAUGUGAGAUAUACAGGGAAUUAAGCAAACACAAGCAAAGAACAACA
rnacentral:lncRNA from 1 species